UUUCCGUAGGUGAACCUGCGGAAGGAUCAUUAUUGUAUAACCGAGGUGCGAGAGCUGUCGCUGACCCGAAAGGUCGUGCACGCCCGAGUGCCCUCACACACAUCCAUCUCACCCCUAUGUGCACAACCGCGUGGGUCCCCCUUUGGCUUGUUCGGAGGGGGGCUUACGUGUUCACACAGACUUUGUAUGCAGUGUAGAAUGUAUUUUUUGUUUUUGCGAUCACGCAAUCAAUACAACUUUCAACAACGGAUCUCUUGGCUCUC
rnacentral:misc_RNA from 1 species